UUAAAGGACGCGGUAUCUUGACCGUGGUAAUGUAGCAUAAUCACUCGCCACUUAAUUGGUGGAUAGUAUGAAUGGUUGAACGAAUAUAACACUGUCUCAGGUAAAGGCUUUAUAAAAUUGGAUUAAUAGUAAAGAUACUAUUUUAAAUUAUAAGACGAAAAGACCCUAUAGAGCUUAACUAUAAUCUUUUUAAAAAAAUAUAAAUUUAUUUAUAAUAAAAAAAGACAGGUAGUUUAGUUGGGGCGACUAUCUUCUAAACAAAACGAAGAUAAACAAUAUUAAUAAAAUAAUUUAUUGUAUAAUUAAUAAAUUUAACAAUUACUAAUGUAGGUAAUAAUGACCCGUUUUCAUUUCAGAAUAAAGAAAACGAUCAAUUGAUAAAAGCUACCUUAGGGAUAACAGGA
rnacentral:rRNA from 1 species